GGUCUACAGAGGAUCAUCCAGUUCAGCAAACAGAACAUGAAUGGAGAUGCAGAAGGCGGCAACUAUGUUUAGUUUGAGCAUUAAAUUGUAUACUUAAGGAAUAUUUCUAGAAAGAAAUGAAUUUAAUUUGAAA